CACAAGGUGUGGGGAGAGGAAGGGAAAGGAGCUUGUAAGCCACCUUGAGUCUCCUUAAAGGAGAGAAAGGUGGGGUAUAAAUACAAACACUACUUCUUCCUCUGCUCACUUUUCUUCUGAUCAUCAGGUUUGUGAAUUCUGAGAAAAUGGGCCAAACAUCAACAGCAGGGCAAAUGCCAGAAUGUGCGCUCUGGGCAAUACCCGUGACGACCCCCUCCUGAAGCUACCCCUGGUGCUUACUUGGAAAGGCAAAGGUGGGGUUUAGUCCAUCCCUCGGACAGGAUUUUCACUUCCCCGAAACCCAGGAGUUCUUAAUUUUUAAUCCGUCACUACCUACUGAGUUCGCAACAUCACAAUGGAAUUCACCAGUUAAAAGUUUGGAUACAGCAGAGUUAUCUUCCAAAUGGUUUCUGCUAAAUUGCAUUGCAUCUUGUCCCGAGAAACUAUUCUUUAGAUUAUUGCUGCUGCGAGAACAGAACCCGCAAAGGUCUGGACAGGAAAGAAAACUCUGACAUGCUGAGAAUUCGUCUAGAAAGUUAAAUCCUUUUUUUAAAAAAUUACGUGUUUAAUUGUCUGUAUUGUUGAAAAAUUGAAAUGUAUGUUGGAUUGAUCUCAAAGUGGAAAGGUGUUCUUAAGUGGGUGGAAUAAUUGUUUUCAAGGUUGUCAUACAGAUACUAAUGAAUCUGUAUAUAAACUUAAAAUAAACACAGUGAACGAAUGUUUGGAUAUAAGUUCGGCACUCCGAACAAG